AACUACCAAAAAAGAAAAAAAUAGAAAAUGAUGUUAGUGUGAAAUGAGGUGUCCUGUCUGAACUCACCAUGACUCAGUUGUUUAACUGAGUUUUCCCCCGCGUCCCCUGAGUCAUAACAACACUAUGUAAAGAAGGCAGGGAGUGCACCUUGUUUGUACAGAGCCUACCAGAUUUUGCAGUACUUCCCUAAAUGUCUAACAGACUGCUUCUUUGACUCUCAGAUCAGAGUGAAGACAAUUUCAAGGGCAAAUAAAGGGAGAAAGACUGGGUCUUUCGACUAUGGCCCAGUUCUCUUGCAAAUAUGGGGCCUCUGGGUUCUUGCAAAGACUCUCCCUGGAGCACAGCAAUAGAGCUCAUCAGAAUCACUAAGGAUUCUGUGUGAGUAGCCAGCUAUAGGCCUGUAGGUCUUUUCUCCUUGCCCAGGCUCUAUAAUCCUCGCCAAGCUCAGGGACAGGAGAAGGAGAAAUAAUAAACUGAACAUUCAUACCUUCCAAAAGUUCUGCUAAACUGAGACUCUCUGAGAAAUCUUUCAACAAUAUUUAUGAAUGAAAUUUUUUAAAAGUUUCUUAGAUGAAUGUUCCAAACAUCUUUAAGUGCUGAAAAAAAAAAAAAAAAAAAAAAGGACUCUGCUAAUACCCUUUGCAUGAGCUCAGUCUAUUUUGCUCUUGCCUCCAGCUGUUGCAUGAGUUAGGGUCAUAUUUGGAAGGACAGCUCAUUGGGUUGGGAAGGUCCUGGAAGGGAGUGCGGAAGAGGAGGGGUGCAGAGAUGCCAGACAGUCAGGAGAGCCAGCAGACGUGUGUGGACAGACUCAGCAAGCUCUGCUUACUGCUGGAGUGUGGCUGCCUGAAAUGGAAUCUAAGGAUCGGCCUCAGGAGUGCAGGAGGACCAUGGCCUGUCUGUGAACCUGGCAGUGAACUCUCCUAGAAAGUGCUUUUUCUCAAGGUCCUUGACUCUCAGGGGGACCUUCGCUUUGAAUUUAAAUUAAUUGAGAGCUCUGUUAAUAUAAUCGAGCGCACCUUCCCAUCCCUGCCAUCCACAAAGAAAAGGACAUUCAAAAAGUUUUCCUUUUAUUAAGGCCUGUCCUGAAGUUUUAAGGUAUGAUGAAAUGUGAGACUGGAAAAGUUUCGCUUUCUCCAGAGGAAGAUGCAAUAGCCAAUCAAUAUCUCUCUCUUAUCUUAACCUAAGCUUUGACUUAAAGCAAAUAACAAAUGUCCAAAAACAUCUGGCUCUCAUUUCCUGGAUGAAAUGCGGGCAUGAACUAACCACCCCUCCAUACGUAAACUUCUCUCCACAAAUUAGCGCAUGGAAUAAGGCAGUGAUCCUUUCAAAUAAGUAUUUAGUGGAUAAAAUGAAUGAUCCUCAGAAAAACACAUCAAAAGUAUCCUGGGACAUAGCAAAGAGUUAAUUUAGCUCUCCUCAUUUUCAGUAAUGUAUUAAGCUAUGGAUGAAAUUGGGACUCUGAGUCUAUACGACACCUUUGAAAAGGUGUCCUUAUAUAUCAUCCAUGCUAUUUUUUAAAAAAGUGACAUCUAUCAUAUUCUUAUGACUCAAGUUCCUAAUCUGAGAAAAACUUACCUAGUUCCUACCUCGCACACUUGUGAGUAUUAAUGAUGCCACAUGUAAGCACGAUUCCUGGCACAGAGGAUGCCCUUAGCAAAUGGCAGCUGACCAUUCUUCUAAGUAAGAGACAGUGAGAAGCAGUGACCUGGAGCCCUGGCCUAUGGAGGCCUGUAAUUCUGUUGCAAAGGCCCACUGGAGUCCCACCUUGGAUAGACUGUUGUGCAGAGAGCGCUGCUGGUACUUUAGCCAUAAAUUGCCCUUGCGUUGAUCCCAUGCUAAACCGGUCGUAUGCGUUUCAUUAAUUUUAAGAAAUAAUGUUUAUCUGAAUUUUGGAGAUCAUGGAAAUCAUCUCUUCUGAGCGGUUUUCCUCCCAGUCUGUCUGGGUUUUAUAAGGACGUCCGCCCUUCCUGAGCACCACAAGACGGUCUGACCGUGAGUGAUGACAGAGAGGUCUUUGGCUCGGGAAAGGCUACCAGGGUCCAGGAGAGGCUUGGGAGGAUGGGCCUGUGGGAGAAGCAUGUGUUUGUUUUCCCUGGAGGUGCAUGGGACCUCGGGGCAGUGAGUCAUUACUGACCAAACCCAGUUUACUGAAGAGAAGAGAACUGAAUUUAGAGCCCAGACUAUUUGAGGAAGGCUGUCUCCUGUCCCCUCAACGGCACAGUCGGCAACAGCAAAAGAGCAACAAACUGAUCCCAGCAUGUGUCUUGGUAUCUCACCCACAAGGAUUCAUGAAUGAGAUCUUCAGGUCCAGGACCCAUACUCACUGCGCAGAGAGUCUGGUAGUUGGCGAGCAACUUGGAAGGAAGAAUUCAGCAACUCACAGAGGUUGCGAAGCCAGAGGUUGCAUUUCAUGGCAUAGUGGCUGGGGUAUUUGAUUCUCUUUCUGUAGUGGAAAUUCCCACCAAGCCUGUGGUGACCAAAAGGGAAGAGAAAGUUACUUACACGUCUGGGCCCACUGGGCCAUCUCUUUUGACCCCUGAUAUGUGCACAAGUACUCAGGUACCACGAGAGUUCCAGCUCUCCAGCAGAAAGCUGGGCAUCGUUAAGCGUUACCCAAGAUCCAGAGAUAAUUUUCUUCCUUGCAUCCUCCAUGUUUCCCUUCACACCAUUUGUCAAGAUUCAGAUGCCAUCAUUACCUGGAUGCAGACCUGUUUCUUGGGCAUAGAGGAGAGCCACAGCACAGGCGACACCCGGGUGAGAAUCGCCUUUGGAACGCCACGCAGUAAAGGAAUUCAUGUCGCUCAACACAGACCGCUUAAUUCACCUGCAAGGACAACAGAACCUUGGAUUUUGCCCUACUUUAAGAGGAGGUCUCUCUGUGUAUUUGUGUGUGUACAUGCCUGUGUGUGCAUGUUGGUUAUGCUGCUGAAAAAGAAGAAAGUUCGUUGCCGGAAACUGUCCAGAGUUACAGGAAUUCAUGUCACUUAACAUUUUGCCCUACUUAAGAGAAGGGAGGGGUGUGUGUGUGUGUGUGUGAGUGAGUGUGUGAAUGCAUGCCUGUGUGUUCAUGUGUGUUAUGCUGGUGAAAAAGAAGAAAACUCAUUGCCAGAAACUGUCCAGGAAUCUUCACCAGCAUAAAACUAAAACCUUGGUGGAAACGGCUCACAGGCAGUCCAGACAAAGUGCUGGUGUCGGAUCUCUUCUGAGUGAGCAGAGAAAGAGACGUGUGGGGCUGUGACGUCUGAGACAGAGGGAGGAGUCAGGCCCAGGGGAGAGGAAGAGAAGGGAGGUGGAUGGCUGUGCGGCUUUAUCAGGGGUUUCCAUCCACAGCCAAAACGGACCAAGAAGAGAAGAGAAAAGGAGACCGAAACCUUUGAGUCCUGCUCAGUCGUGACUGAAUGUUUUAUAAAAGCACAUCUCUCUUGUUUACAAGGCAACUGCUUUCUCAGGCGAUUUGUAUGUGUUAACAAAUAGCUUUUCAGUGGCAGAAAUCUAGAAACAUGGCAUAGAGCAAAUCUCUUCUAAGAGAAUUCUACACAACAAGAGACUGCACUAAGCAACCCAUUAGAAUAGAAGGUCUUUCAGGGAAGGGAUGUAUCUGAUGUACUGAGUUAAUCCAGUCCCUCAGGCCUACACAUUGGAGGUCUUCAGGAAACUUUAAUGAAAUCCUGAUGCUUGGAGAGUAAAAACAGUCAAUGGAUAAGUGAGUAUGAAACAGCUAUAUCCAACACCCCCUUUUAUAGACUCACAAUGCAUAUUAAAGACUCUUAGAAUA